rnacentral:rRNA from 1 species
AACGAACGCUGGCGGCAGGCUUAACACAUGCAAGUCGAACGCCCCGCAAGGGGAGUGGCAGACGGGUGAGUAACGCGUGGGAAUCUACCCAGUUCUACGGAACAACACAGGGAAACUUGUGCUAAUACCGUAUACGCCUACGGGGAAAGAUUUAUCGGAAUUGGAUGAGCCCGCGUUGGAUUAGCUAGUUGGUGAGGUAACGGCUCACCAAGGCGACGAUCCAUAGCUGGUCUGAGAGGAUGAUCAGCCACACUGGGACUGAGACACGGCCCAGACUCCUACGGGAGGCAGCAGUGGGGAAUAUUGGACAAUGGGCGCAAGCCUGAUCCAGCCAUGCCGCGUGAGUGAUGAAGGCCUUAGGGUUGUAAAGCUCUUUCAGUGGGGAAGAUAAUGACGGUACCCACAGAAGAAGCCCCGGCUAACUUCGUG